UAGACGUAUGCCAAGUUAAAAUUUAUUUGGUCAAAUUUUUGAAAUGAUUAAAUUUUUAUAUUAGGGAUUAUAUUAAGGAACCAUAAGUCGCAACAUAAUAGUUUUCCUGAAAAAAUGGUAAGAAAGUUUAUUUUUUUGUGCAAUAUUCAUUUUUUUUCGGGAAGAGUGUCUUCAGUAAUUUGAAGACACGAAAUAUUAAGAUCUAAUGUCUUAGGCAAAUAUAGUCACGUUAAUAUUCGAAUACUAAAUAUUUAAAUUGUUACAAUUUCGAACUUUACUUUCAAAAUUCUACUCUCAAAAUACAAUACUCGUUCGUUUCUAUGGUAUUUUUACGUCACACAGCGAAUGGAAAAGUGAAAACUCUCUUCUUGGGAAAGCUACAAAUUGUCAUAAUAUAUAAAAAUAUUUUUCACGACUGAUUCUGUAAUGGAUCUGAUCAAGAAUUAAAAAUCUUUUUUUUUAUCAAAUAUGAUGUUUUAUUUGUUAAGUGCAAAUGGAUGAAAGAUUAAGAAUUAUUGCUUAUAUAAUAUCUUACUAUAUUUAUAUUUUCAUCUUAUGAACUAACGAUAUUAGAAAAUAUCACAAUAUUACAAUUAUACUUUUAUUCCUUUACACAAUAAGUGCAAAGUACUUAAUAAGAUAACCAACAAUUAUUUCUUCGCUAUUUAUAUACGAUUCAUCACAUUUCAUUCAAGCUUUUAUCAAUGAUAUAAAACUUCAAAAUUAUUAUAAUUGUAGUUAAAAAACCUACUUAUUAAUAACGAAAGUUAUGUUGAUAACGCAAAUGGAUAUUAAAGUACUGAAUGUUAUAAUAAUUUAAUUUAACUUAACUUAAUGUAGUAAAUAUUUGAAAGACGUAAUAUAAUUGUCUAAAAGAAAUACAAAAGCUGUAAUCAUCCUUCUUCGCGCCAAUAAAAUACAAUUUGUACAAUGUAUAGUCAA